rnacentral:tRNA from 1 species
CCCCCAGUAGCUCAGCGGACUAGAGCAACAGCCUACUAGGCGGUUGGCCGUAGGUUCGAGUCCUGCCUUGGGGG